rnacentral:rRNA from 1 species
AUUGAACGCUGGCGGCAGGCCUAACACAUGCAAGUCGAACGAGUGGCGGACGGGUGAGUAAUGACUGGGAAACUGCCUUAUGGAGGGGGUUAACUACUGGAAACUGUAGCUAAUACCGCAUACCAUCGGAUGAGCCCAAGUGGGAUUAGCUAGUAGGGGGGGUAAAGGCUCACCUAGGCGACGAUCCCUAGCUGGGCUGAGAGGAUGACCAGCCACACUGGAACUGAGACACGGUCCAGACUCCUACGGGAGGCAGCAGUGGGGAAUAUUGCACAAUGGGCGCAAGCCUGAUGCAGCCAUGCCGCGUGUAUGAAGAAGGCCUUCGGGUUGUAAAGUACUUUCAGUAGGGAGGCGUUACCCACAGAAGAAGCACCGGCUAACGCCGUGCCAGCAGCCGCGGUAAUUC